CAAAAAGCAAAUAAUAAGUGCAUUGUCGCACUCCUCUACGACCAAAGGAUAUAUUGUGACGUCAAAGUUUGGUCAUAGCUUUGCGUUUGACUCUUAUAAGAAGCCAAUGUUUGCAGAUACAAAAUCUAAGCCCGUUGAGACAACAUUCCUUGACAGGUAUUUUGACAAACAACCUGUCAAUUUUAUAGACCCAAGCAAUGUGCCAUAUUACUUAGGCACAUUGUCAAAUUGAACAGGUUAUUUUGUUCUAAAACCUCUCACACAGGAAGUUGAGGAAGCUGACAGAAAAUAUGAAGACUUGAUUCAGGUUGCAACAAUAUGUAGAUGCAAUAUGGACUUGUAAACUUGCACAAUGCUGAAAAUAUAUAUAGAUGUACUGAAAUUGUCUAACUUUUAUAAUUAAUGGUUUAAUUUUUUUUUUGA